GGUGAACGCUGGCGGCGUGCUUAAGACAUGCAAGUCGAACGGCAGUCUUCGGACUGUAGUGGCGCACGGGUGAGUAACGCGUAACUGACCUACCCCAAAGUCGCGGAUAACGAUUCGAAAGAAUCGCUAAUACGUGAUGUGCUGUGAGAUUGUGUUCUGCCAGUAAAGAUUGAUUGCUUUGGGAUGGGGUUGCGUUCCAUCAGCUAGUUGGUGGGGUAAAGGCCCACCAAGGCGACGACGGAUAGCCGGCCUGAGAGGGGGGCCGGCCACAGGGGCACUGAGACACGGGUCCCACUCCUACGGGAGGCAGCAGUUAGGAAUCUUCCACAAUGGGCGAAAGCCUGAUGGAGCGACGCCGCGUGAGGGAUGAAGGUCUUCGGAUCGUAAACCUCUGAAUCAGGGACGAAAGACACUUCGGUGGGAUGACGGUACCUGAGUAAUAGCACCGGCUAACUCCGUGCCAGCCGCCGCAGUAACAC
rnacentral:rRNA from 1 species